UACGUAGGGGGCAAGCGUUGUCCGGAAUCAUUGGGCGUAAAGCGCGCGUAGGCGGCCCGGUAAGUCCGAUUGAUGAAAGUCAAAGGCUCAACCUUUGAACGCCGAUGGAUACUGCCGGGCUAGAGUCCGGAAGAGGCGAGUGGAAUUCCUGGUGUAGCGGUGGAAUGCGCAGAUAUCAGGAGGAACACCAAUAGCGAAGGCAGCUCGCUGGGACGGUACUGACGCUGAGGCGCGAAAGCGUGGGGAGCGAACAGG
rnacentral:rRNA from 1 species